rnacentral:rRNA from 1 species
AACGAACGCUGGCGGCAUGCCUAACACAUGCAAGUCGAACGAGACCUUCGGGUCUAGUGGCGCACGGGUGCGUAACGCGUUGGAACCUGCCCUUAGGUUCGGCUUAACUCCCCGAAUGGGGUGCUAAUACCGGCUAAUGUCUUCGGACCAAAGAUUUAUCGCCUUUGGAUGGGCCUGCGUUGGAUUAGCUAGUUGGUAGGGUAAAAGCCUACCAAGGCGACGAUCCAUAGCUGGUCUGAGAGGAUGAUCAGCCACACUGGGGCUGAGAAACGGCCCAGACUCCUAGGGGAGGCAGCAGUGGGGAAUAUAGGACAAUGGGCGAAAGCAUGAUCCAGCAAUGCUGGGUGAGUGAUGAAGGCCGUAGGGUUGUAAAGCUAGUUUACACGGGAUGAUAAUGACAGUACCGGGAGAAUAAGCUCCGGCUAACUCCGUG